rnacentral:rRNA from 1 species
AGGGAUCAUUACUGAGUGAGGGCCUUCGGGCUCGACCUCCAACCCUUUGUGAACACAACUUGUUGCUUCGGGGGCGACCCUGCCGUUUCGACGGCGAGCGCCCCCGGAGACCAUCAAACACUGCAUCUUUGCGUCGGAGUUUAAGUAAAUUAAACAAAACUUUCAACAACGGAUCUCUUGGUUCUGGCAUCGAUGAAGAACGCAGCGAAAUGCGAUAAGUAAUGUGAAUUGCAGAAUUCAGUGAAUCAUCGAAUCUUUGAACGCACAUUGCGCCCUUCGGUAUUCCGAAGGGCAUGCCUGUUCGAGCGUCAUUUCACCACUCAAGCCUGGCUUGGUAUUGGGCGCCGCGGUCAAUCCGCGCGCCUCAAAGUCUCCGGCUGAGCUGUCCGUCUCUAAGCGUUGUGAUUUCAUUAAUCGCUUCGGAGUGCGGGCGGCCGCGGCCGUUAAAUCUUUCACAAGGUUGACCUCGGAUCAGGUAGGGAUACCCGCUGAACUUAA